GACGAACGCUGGCGGCAUGCUUAACACAUGCAAGUCGAACGGAAUCUUCGGGGUUAGUGGCGGACGGGUGAGUAACGCGUGAGAAUCUGCCCUUGGGUUCGGGACAACCACCGGAAAGGGUGGCUAAUACCGGAUGUGCUGAUAGGUAAAAGAGAAUUUGCCUGAAGAUGGGGCCGCGGCUGAUUAGCUAGUUGGUGAGGGGAAGGGUCCCCAAGGCAGCGAUUAGUAGCUGGUCGGAGGGGAAGACGAGCCACACUGGGACUGGGAAACGGCCCAGACUCCUACGGGGGGCAGCAGUGGGGAAUUUUCCGCAAUGGGGGAAGGCCUGACGAACCAAUACCGCGGGGGGGAAGAAGGCUCUUGGGUUGUAAACCUCUUUUCUUAGGGAAGAACAUAAUGACGGUACCUGGGGAAUCAGCAUCGGCUAACUCCGUG
rnacentral:rRNA from 1 species